CAAUAGCGUAUGCUAAAUUUGUUGCAGUUAAAAAGCUCGUAGUUGGAUUUCUGUUUAAACGAAUCUAUCCGCCUUAGGGUGUGCAUGGAUGAGUCAGACAUUUUUCUGGGGAACGUUGCUGCACUUAACUGUGUGGCGCGGUAUCCAGAACGUUUACUUUGAGAAAAUUAGAGUGUUUCAAGCAGGCUAUUGCCAUGAAUACUGCAGCAUGGAAUAAUAAGAUAGGACUUCGGUUUCAUUUUGUUGGUUCUAGAACUGAAGUAAUGAUUAAUAGGGACAGUUGGGGGCAUUCGUAUUUGACUGUCAGAGGUGAAAUUCUUAGAUUUGUCAAAGACGGACUACUGCGAAAGCAUUUGCCAAGGAUGUUUUCAUUAAUCAAGAACGAAAGUUA
rnacentral:rRNA from 1 species